CCACCUGAAAAGACAUAAGAAGAUUUACUUUUGUUUCUUGACCUUACAAAUGCUGGAGAUCCAGCCCAGAAGCCUUGUUCAUGCUGCACAAGAACCCUACCACCAGGUCGACCAUUGUUUCCUCAGCCCCACUUUUGAAACAUGGCUACAUCAAAUGCUUACAAUCACAUUUCCAAGUCAAAUCUCUAGCUUGAGAUUGACUCGGAACACUGUCUAUUGUACACUGGGUGAUUUUGCUUGGAGACUUGCUAACUUACUUGUAGAGAAUUCUUAACUUCUUAACUUCUUAAGAGUUACGUUAUAAAGUAUGGAAACUUCAAUUUGAUUUGGUAGAAACAGAUUUAAAGUUAUACACAAUUAUAGCCAAGCCUGAUGGUGCAUUCCUAUAGCACCAGCACACAGGUUGAAAAGGAAAACCCAAGUUCUAGGGUAGCCUGGGCUAUACAGUAAAAGCCUGCUUCAGAAAAAUAAUAAAUAAGGAAAUAAGUUGUGGUGGUUUGAAUAUUCUUGGCUCAUGGGAAGUGGCACUAUUAGGAGGUGUGACCUUGUUUAAAUAAGUGUGUCAUUUUGUAGGUGGGCUUUGAGGUUUACUAGGGCUCAAGCUCUGCCCAGUGAGGAAGGAACUUCCUCCUGGCUGGCUGCAGAAGACAGUCUCCUUCCUCCUGGCUGCCUUCUGAUCAAAAUGUAGAGCUCUUCCUUAUAGCAUCGUUUCUGCUUGGAUGUUGUCAUGCUUCCCACGAUGAUGAUAAUGGACUGAAUCUCUGAACUGGAAUGAAACUGUGUGAAGAGAAUUCUGAGUGCUAGGAAGAACACUCUAUGAAAACAAGAAGAGUCUUGUGUCCUUGUUUUUUUUUCAAUUGUUCUUGGCGUGUAUCUGAGCUCCUCCCAGGUGCAGAGGAUAGAGGUGAGCUGAUUUCAGAAUACUCCUUGUUGCCUGCUGCUGUUUGUUAUGCAGUUAAAUGGUUGAGCUGGCCUUUGUAUGGAAAAGUACUUCUGCCUGUGUGUUGCUUAUCCCUGUGGUUGAAUACCUUACUCAUGUGAUUUUUUUCUUGACCGUCAGAGUAUAAAUUGCUUGAUUCUUUGAAUAAAACUGACGAUUGAA